rnacentral:rRNA from 1 species
GGCGAACGCUGGCGGCGGGCCUAACACAUGCAAGUCGUACGCGGGGUUCUCCUUCGGGAGAACUGCCGAGUGGCGAACGGGUGCGUAACGCGUAGGUAACCUGCCCUCGAGUGGGGGAUAACUCCGGGAAACCGGGGCUAAUACCGCAUAUUGUCCCGGGACCGCAUGGCUCCGGGAUGAAAGCCCUCUGGGCGCUCGAGGAUGGGCCUGCGUCGGAUUAGCUAGUUGGUGGGGUAACGGCCCACCAAGGCGACGAUCCGUAGCUGGUCUGAGAGGACGACCAGCCACACUGGCACUGAGACACGGGCCAGACUCCUACGGGAGGCAGCAGUGGGGAAUCUUGGGCAAUGGGCGAAAGCCUGACCCAGCCACGCCGCGUGGAGGAUGAAGCCCUUCGGGGUGUAAACUCCUUUUCUGGGGGAAGAAAUCCCGGCUAUGGUCGGGACUGACGGUACCCCAGGAAUAAGCGCCGGCUAACUCC